rnacentral:rRNA from 1 species
UACAGAGGGUGCGAGCGUUGUCCGGAAUCACUGGGCGUAAAGGGCGCGUCGGUGGCGGGCCAAGUCCAUGGUGAAAGCUCGAUGCUCAACAUCGAGUCGGCCACGGAUACUGGUUCGCUCGAGCACUGUAGAGGCUAAUGGAAUUCCGGGUGUAGCGGUGGAAUGCGUAGAGAUCCGGAAGAACACCGGUGGCGAAGGCGGUUAGCUGGGCAGUUGCUGACACUGAGGCGCGACAGCGUGGGGAGCAAACAGG